CCCUAUGUGGCGCAGUGGUUUGAACAUCGGACUACAAUUCUGAAGACCAGGGUUCGAAUCCAAGCUUGGCCA